rnacentral:lncRNA from 1 species
AUGUCGUACUGGCGGACAUUGUGCGAAUCUUCAUCAGAGCCCAUGUACAAGUACAACUUGGAGAAAAUGUAUAACCGACUCGUGGUUGCCAACCGAGAAAGUAAGUGUCUAUGAUUACGUCUACGAAAACUGGCUCAAAGACUAUAAAGAAAUGUUCGUUUAUGCGUGGACCGAUAAGUGUCGCAACUUUGGUCAGCGCACCACCAACAGAGUUGAGAGCCAGCACGCAAAUUUAAAAAGAUACAUUACGCGCGGGAGUUCAUUGGAGCGAAUAGCAAGAUGCAUCAUUGAUAUAGUUGAAACUCAGUACGAUGAAAUACAAAAAAGUUUCACUGAGAGCAUCGAAAAAACGAUGAACCACCACAGACACCGAAUGUUGGACAACCUACGUGGA